rnacentral:rRNA from 1 species
GAUGAACGCUAGCGGCAGGCUUAAUACAUGCAAGUCGAGGGGCAGCACGGGUAGCAAUACCUGGUGGCGACCGGCAAACGGGUGCGGAACACGUACGCAACUUUCCCAAAACUGGUGAAUAGCCCUCCGAAAGGAGGAUUAAUACACCGUAACAUAAUGAAGUGGCAUCACUUUAUUAUUAUAGCUCCGGCGGUUUUGGAUGGGCGUGCGCCUGAUUAGGUAGUUGGCGGGUAACGGCCCACCAAGCCUUCGAUCAGUAACUGGUGUGAGAGCACGACCAGUCACACGGGCACUGAGACACGGGCCCGACUCCUACGGGAGGCAGCAGUAAGGAAUAUUGGACAAUGGGCGAAAGACCUGAUCCAGCAAUGCCGCGUGAGUGAUGAAGGCCCUAGGGUUGUAAAGCUCUUUUAACCUAGGGAUGAUAAUAGACAGUACCU